rnacentral:rRNA from 1 species
UACGAAGGGGGCUAGCGUUGCUCGGAAUUACUGGGCGUAAAGCGCACGUAGGCGGCUUUCUAAGUCGGGGGUGAAAUCCUGGAGCUCAACUCCAGAACUGCCUUCGAUACUGGAGAGCUCGAGUCCGGAAGAGGAGAGUGGAAUUCCCGGUGUAGCGGUGAAAUGCGCAGAUAUCGGGAAGAACACCCGUGGCGAAGGCGGCCUCUCUGGGACGGUACUGACGCUGAGACGCGAAAGCGUGGGGAGCGAACAGG